GAUAAAGUGCCUGAAAUUAAAGGGUUAUUUUGAUACAAUAUUUAUGUUUUUACCUUUAUCU
rnacentral:tRNA from 1 species